rnacentral:lncRNA from 1 species
UCCAGUCUGGGAGACAGAGUGGUACCCCAUCUCUAAAAAAAACAACAAAAACAAACAAAAAAACCAGAGGUACAAGUUACCUGGGACUCCUAGUAGGAGAAGGUUUGGGUGGUAAAGAAUAGACUCAUGGAAACAGGGGUAUUGAAGAGAGAUUCUAAAAUUGUACUGGGAAGUUUUCAGAAAGACAACUAAAGACUUAGGUGGAAAUCAGGGUACAGAGUAAUUUUAAGAGAACUGUACCUCAAUUUUCAGUUCCUUUUAGUAUGAAUGUGUAUUAGAAACAGAAACAAAGACCAGAACCAGAGAGCCCAAACUUCCGCUGAGCACAGCUUUGUCCAGAGAGUCCCUGAAUACCUCAGCAGGGGUCUGAGGAAUCUAGGCAUAUGUCUUUUCUGUCAUAAAUGUUCAGACAGUUUCUUGUUUUUUUUUUUGUGAGGUAUAGGGUAAAGUAAUACUUAAAGUUAUUCUCUUUAUAAAUGUGGCAUAUACAAAUGUAAAAAGUAGGGAUAUAUUUCCACUUACCUGUUUGAAUGUGUCAUGUAUUAUCAUCUCCUUUUGAGCUGGAGGUUAUCAGAGAGCAUCUCAAUUUAUAGAAAUGGAAUCUGAGGCCUUCAGCAUGAAUCUUUGGGUGAAUUUAUUUAUACAAGCCUGUUUUCUUAACAACUAGUUGGUCACAUGGCUAGAAACUAGGGUUUCGUCAUAGUCCAUGAUGCUCAAGGUCACACUGAGAGGCAGGAUGUACAGUUAUAGAACAACCCUAUAUCCCCACACAGCUUUUAGACAAUGUCUUUUACUUACACAGGCUUCUCUAGGACCACUUUUUAACCACAAUCUAUUACUGAUCUUCUGGUAAACUGCAUUCCUUUUAGCAAAAUUAACUAAGUUUUCCCAUCUAUUAUCAUACAGGUCUUCAGUUACCCUCACAUUUGUAAAUUAACUGGGUGUAUAAAUAUAUGAUACCCAAGUAAAUCUUUAUUUUUUUCACAGCCUACAUAAGGAAGACAUCUUGCAAAUAUGAUAUAAAAAGAGCCUUUAUAUCAAAUUAUAAUAUAUUAAUAUGUCAUUACAAAUUAAUAAUCCUGAGAAUAUUUUCUAUAUAUCCUAUAAUAAAAUAUUUCAAAAUAUUUUACAUGUCUAUAUAAGAAUUUAUAAGAGUUCAUUAUGGGUGACAACAUUUCACAUGAGAGAAAAUUUAUGACAAGAUUUCUAAGUAAAACUAAACCCACUCAUGGGUUUAUAAUUAUUAUUAUUUAUAGCAGUACUGUACAGUAGAAAUAUAAUGUGUACCACAAAUACAAGCUGCAUGUGUAAUUAAUUUUUCUAGUGGCCAUUUUAAAAAUAUUUAAAACAUACAAAAUUAAUUUUAACAUAUUUAAUUUAAUCCAAUAUAUCUAAAAUAUCAUUUCAACAUGUAUGCAUGUAAAAACUUAUUAGUGAUAUACUUUACCUUCUUUGUUUUUUAUACUAGGUCUUUGAAACCCAGUGUGUAUUUUACAUUUAUAGCAUAUCUCAAUUUGGGCUACAUUUCAAGGGCUCAAAAGCAGAUCUAUGGUCUAUCCUAAUAAUUACAUUGAACUAUAUAAAUACUCCUGCUUUAUAACAAUAACCACAGCUACCUUUUAUUGCCUUGUUAUGUGGUAGUCACUAUAAUAAUUUCCAUGUUUUUCUUAUUUCAUCUUCAAAGCUAUGAUGGAAAUUCCAUUGUCACCCAUAUUUUCUAGAUGGAAUAACAAGAGACUUCAAAGGGUUUAACGGCCUUGCCUAAAGCUGUGGAGUUAACAAGUGAUGGACCAGGGAUUCAAAUACAAAGAUUUAUAUGUACAUUGAAAUAAGGCCUAAGGGCUAUGUAGAAACCUCCUUUCACACUGGUACCCUGCACUGGCCUGAAGUUUCCUUCUACUCAGCUUGUAAAAGGGACAUUCAACUUUUCUCACAGUUUUCUAAUGUGAAUAUGCUGUUUGCUUCCUGCUUGGACCCUGACUGAUUCAAAAGCGUUAUUUCCAACUUUCGGUUGAAGUCCAUCCUGCUUCUCUUUUUGACAGGCAACAAUUUUUCUUGGAAAGAACAUCAUGGUGAUAGAAUUUUAAUCUGAAUAUAAAUUCCAUAUCUGCAUUCCUUGGGCAGGUUGGCUCCAGUACGUUUCAAGUGCCAGCAACUGAAGGUGAACUCUGGUUGCUUCCAGGCCUCCCUUGCAUGAUUUGGGGUUAGAAUUGUCCAAAUACCAUGAGUAAUAUGGAAGUUCUCUGAAGGACAUGGAGAACAACCACGGCUGUGCCCGGUUCUUCAGGUGGCUGCCAGUCCCCCCGUGCCUGCUCCCUGUCCCUGCCUGCCUUCCCGCUGAUGAUGACUGACGUUCUGGGACGGAGGAGCAGGUGUGUGGUGUCUGCCCUUGGCGUGUUGAAGCAUGACUUGAAAGAGGAAAUUUGAAUUUUUCUUAUUCUUAGAAGAGAGGAGAACCAGAGGGAUGACAGAUUCCCAUAGGAAAUGCACACACCUGUUUUUUUUUUUGUUUUUUUUUUUUUGGAUUUGGUGCUCUAGGCAGUUUCAGAAAACAAACCCCAGAGUGAAACCAUCAACAUGAGAAUGCCUUUGUGCCCUUCAAAAUUAUUCUCAAAAGCUAAAUAGCACUUUCUGACCAGGUGCAGGAGAAUUUUUUCCUCCAUUUUUCUAACUCAGAACUAAUUUUUAUUGCCUUUCUGGGCAAUAAAUCAUUUUUUAAAACCAUGUUUGGAUAAAAUUAUCUAGGAGAUAACAUCAACAAUUUUUAAACACUGAUAUUUUGGUUUAUAACCUUUAAAAACAAAAUCUAAAGUAUUUUGGACAACUAUAUAUUCAAAUAAGAUUUAGAUAUGAAUAUAUAAAUUGUGUUUGUGGAUGAUAAAUAUGUAGCCUACCCAGAAAUUAGCCUUAUUAAUUAAGAGAACUAUUAUCUGAUAUUUUUUCCCAGGUUAGGCCUAGGUACAGUUGUGUGCUGGUAAAUUUGUAACAAAAGGCUCUCCAGGGGAAGAAAAGCCCUGAUUUUCAGUGUUUGCCAAUUUCCACGGUAUUAAAAGUACUCACACCAAGGCCGGUUUUAAGCAGUGCUCCUGAAGUCCCUGAAGACAGAGUUGAAAAGCAUCGUGCACAGUUGACUCUUCUAAGCUAGUCCGAGCUGGCUCCAACACACUACUGCCUAUGUAAGUAUCUAUAAAUAAUACAACUUAGAGGGUUCAUAAGCAUAACAAUGGGAUAUAUUCAGAAUGAUUGAAUACUGACUCAGAAAGAAAACUAUACAAUUUUGCUAUACCAUAAACCAUAAAAGUGUAUCAUAGGAACUGUGACCAAGAAUGUAAUUGUUGACCUCAGAUGGUCCUGAUUCUUCCUUUUCUAGCUUCUGGGAACACUCUUUUUUGUGUCCUGUCCUGGUUAUGCUGAGAGUCUGCAUCUUGCUUCAGAGAAUUUACUAAAAUCACAGGAAGGUCUGAAUUCUCAUUUGUACAUUCGACACCAAGUAUAUGGAGGCUUUCCCAAUUGCUCUGUGUGAAGGACUUGAGUUUUCUUCCAGCAUCAGCUGAAAAUACCAAAUGCCUGUUUGUGUGGAAAUUUCCUGAGACUACAGCUCUUAACUCUCUGACCUGAGUAGUAUAUGUGUGAAUUUUCCAUCAGGUUGUAUUCUCUGCAUUUUUCUCUGCCGUAUGGUGGCAAAUGAUUGUCCUAAUGUAUAAGAUCCCCUUUCAGCCUCCUACCCCCAGCCUCAGUACUGCCCCUGAGCUCGGGAAGAGAACCCCUUGCCCUGGGCUCCUCCUACAUUUGAGAUUUGACUCUAGAUAUCUGUUGGCUAUGUCCCUUUCCACUAAGUCUGUGGACCCCACUUCUAAGACUAUUGUCUGGAUUCUGGAGAGUCCAGAAUUCUCUGCCUGAAAGGCUCUGAACCUAUUGGACCUGUAGUGGCCUCUUUGCCUUAUCCAUUCUCCAAAGGGUAGACUAUGCCAAAUCCCAAGAUUUUGAUUAAGAACAGCUAGCUUGUGUGUUUUUUUGUUUUUGUUUGGUGAGGGUGGUUGUGGAUGGUACUACACCUAAAGGCCACCAUGGAUGUUCACAUAGCACUCAUGCUUGUUGUGCAGACCAUAUGGAGCCAAUAGCAAGAAUGUUAAGGGAUCCAGCAAAAUCAGAAGGCCUGGGGGCAAUGGCUGGGUCUCCCCUACCUGUUGUCACAUUUCAGUGUGGACCUCUGAAGAUUGCAAGCAUCCUGAAUUUGAACCUUCCUUUGUAGUGAAGGAUGGAAUCUAUUUCAUUUAAGAGCUCGUUGGCUUAAUUUAAACUUUUAAAUAUUUAGACAGAUAGUAUAUGAACCUCCAUUUAUACUCUUGCACCAGACUCUGCAAAUAUUGGCCAGGCCUUCCCAAAACACAGUUUUUUUUUUCUUUUCUUUUUUUUUUUUUAGUGUCCUCUUUUCUCUUUCAAGUGUACAGUCUAGGUGAGUAAGGAUUAGGUUUUUAAGAGGGAAAAGUCCCAGAGAAAGUGUCAUAAGCAUGGGAAUGAGUCCACCAAAGACUAGGAAGCUGAUGAUCCAAUGUAAUUGCCAGAGAGAAUGUGGUGGAUCUAACCCUUGGAGCUGCUAAGAGGACAAACACUGAUGCCCAGACCAGCAGCAGGUCUGGCAAUGGCAACUGUCUGGUCUCAUGGACAGGAAUACAGACUGGGUUAAACCGAGAUCUACUUGUUUCUCCUAUUUCCUAACUCUCCCCUACAAGGCCAUCACUUUCCUCCUUGUGUGCUCAAGAAACCUAAUAAAUGUCCUGCAGGAAGAGUUACAGGUGCCUCAGAGUUCUGGACUCUCCUGCAAUUGCUGUGUCACCUUAAUCUUUUCUCUUUGACCAUGGUCAGUUUGUGAUUUGCUGAAGUGAACCAAUGAGCAUUUUAAACCCCAUUGGGUAGGAAGAGUCAUUUUCUGCUUGGACUCUGGACUGGAAACAAACCUUCCCAUUGUGCAGCACUAUGGUCCUUUCUGUGUGCUGUCAUUAAUCUUUUCUCAACUGCCCAGCUGCAGUGACUCUAGGACAUUACAACAUAAUUCCUUCCUACUCAAUAUCAUGUAGGCCACAUAUAUGAACAGACCAUUUCCUGACAUUUUUUUCAGAAAAAUCAGUAUCAGUGUGGGAAUUCAAUGACACUCUAGACUUGUGUCAUUUUUAUGUACUAAACAAAAUGGUACUAUAAAAAUUCAACAUAGUCUCAAGAAGGUCCCAGUUAGUGCACAUGUAAUAACAAUACUCAAGUUUCACUGGCAAUUCUUGCAGGAAGGAUAUUCUGGUAUCUUCUAAUUAGUAAAAAAAAAAAAA